AUUGAACGCUGGCGGCAGGCCUAACACAUGCAAGUCGAGCGGAUGAAGGGAGCUUGCUCCUGGAUUCAGCGGCGGACGGGUGAGUAAUGCCUAGGAAUCUGCCUGGUAGUGGGGGAUAACGUCCGGAAACGGGCGCUAAUACCGCAUACGUCCUGAGGGAGAAAGUGGGGGAUCUUCGGACCUCACGCUAUCAGAUGAGCCUAGGUCGGAUUAGCUAGUUGGUGGGGUAAAGGCCUACCAAGGCGACGAUCCGUAACUGGUCUGAGAGGAUGAUCAGUCACACUGGAACUGAGACACGAUCCAGACUCCUACGGGAGGCAGCAGUGGGGAAUAUUGGACAAUGGGCGAAAGCCUGAUCCAGCCAUGCCGCGUGUGUGAAGAAGGUCUUCGGAUUGUAAAGCACUUUAAGUUGGGAGGAAGGGCAGUAAGUUAAUAUCUUGCUGUUUUGACGUUACCAACAGAAUAAGCACCGGCUAACUUCGUG
rnacentral:rRNA from 1 species